AACUCAUAAGGAAUGUCGUAUUAAAUUUGGUUCCCAUUUUCCAAUGAUGAAAAUUUGCUCUUCACCUUUUACUUUUCAAAUCUUAGAAGUUAGGAAUUUAGUGGCUUCUUAUGAAUAGACCUUUUGUGUUGCCAUUGGUUGCGUUGGAAAUCUGCCAUUAGGAAGGUAAGUUUGACUUACGUACGUGAUACUUCAAAACAACAUGAUGGCUGUCAACUGUCAUAAUAUUUAUAUAAAUAUAUCUACUUAUUUUCAUCUUAUCGUUUGGUUAUCCUAUCUUAUGGUUAUUUUAACUAUCAACAUCUUAUCGAAAAGGAAAGUCUGGAAGAAGGUCCGCCGAUGGAAGAGGUCC